AACAGGCAGGCUCCUUCCUCUUCUUGCUUCCUUGAAUCUCUAUUAACCUUUAGUGUGCGUGAGAGCUCAGCUUUGUGUGGGUUUUUGUUCAUAUAUACAUGUAUGCAUGCGUGCGGGUUAGGCCGGCAAGGAGAGAGAGGUAAGGGCAAGGGCAAGGGCAAGAUUGGGGAUGGUCCCAGUGAAGUCUAACUUCUCCGUAGAUGGUGUACAGGGCAGGUCGAGUUAGCUUUAUCUUAUGGCUUUUUGUACUUUGAGACUUUGGGGAUUACGACAUCUUCUGUGGCGGGUUGUGGUUUGUUUUGUGGUUUGGAUUUGUCUUUGGCCAGGGAUUGUAAUGUAACCUUGUUGGGCUUGUGGUGUUUUGUUA